UAGCUGCCUGGCGAAGAAUGG
rnacentral:miRNA from 1 species